CUAUGCUUUAAGAAUUGGGGCGGAUGAAAUUUUAAAACCCUUACCAGGUACCAAGCUACUGCUGUGAGGGAAAUCUCCUGUUCCAAGCCUACUUUUGGAUGCAGAGAACUCUCCACAUCUGGCUCUUAGCCUGACAGAAGUGAAUCACUAGGAUGCAGUAUUGUCAUAUGGAUCGAUCGCAGGGCCCUCCAGCCCUCCCAGGUUCCAGGAAGGCAUGGAAUCAUACUGUAUAUCCUAAAAUAUCUGUUGUGAUGCCUAAUAUGUAGCAACGACCCAAAUAUUUGAUAAAUGAAUGAACAAAAACAAUCACUGAGCCAUUAUUAGACCCAAGUCUAUGUUCUCGAAGCUGGUAUUUCAAUUUUAAAAAGUCCAUUCAAAAUUCUUAGCUGCCAAGAAGAAACUUGAGUAGUGUCUCAUGGAUCACAGACUGCCUGAAUUCUAGGGGGAUGUCCAGAUGAAAAACUCCUGUUUCAUGGAACACUCUUUUCCCAGGAGGAACCAAGGGUCAACCCACCUCAAGGCUCUCAACGAGGCAUCUCAAGCUCCCCAGAUUGGUCUUCUCCCAUCCCUCUUUCACUCUACUUGGCCUGGCGAACCUCAAAGCACCCUAGAGGUCUAAGAACACUUUGAAAUCAGCGGAACUCCCUACCAUACUUAUUUAUAGCUGAUUCUAUAUCUCUUUCAUUACACUCUUGAUAGAUGUAAUUCAAUAAUUAUUUGCAUAAUCUUCCAUUUAGUGUAGGUUG